rnacentral:rRNA from 2 species
AGGUGUGAUCAUACCAGCACUAAUGCACGAUAUCCCAUCAAAACUCCGCAGAUAAGCGUGCUUGGGCUAGAGUAAUACUAGGAUGUGUGACCUCCUGGGAAGUCCUCGUGUUGCACAUA